ensembl:lincRNA
AUGGGACAUUUUCCACAUUCCCCAUACCCUGAUCACAAAUCUGAAUCGACAGACCAGGAUGGAUGCUUGAUGUAUUUCACUACAUUGAACUUACUUUUCAAGGACAGAGAGAGAGACAUGGUUACAGAAGCUCCUUCAUCAGUCUCAUACUCCAGGGUGUAUUUGAUUGCAGUGGACUUUGAUGCGAUCCUGGUCAGCCCUAAUUUCUCAGAUUAGCUGUUUACGAGAUUCGAACAUCCAUGACGCCUUCUUAUCAUCAGAGAAACUCUAUUCGUGGUUGAGUGAAGUAAGAAAAGGUAUGUUCCACCCCUACUCUUUUCGAGAAACGCCCUGGGCUUUUUAAUGGCCACAGAGAGCCAGGACCUCGGUUUUCCAUCUCAUCUGAAGGACGGCGCCUUUUUACAGUCUAGAGUCCCUGUCGCUAUACUGGGGCAUCAGGACCCAGAUAGACCACAGGGGGUGGGCGCUCCCUGCUGGCCCCACUAACACCUCUUCCAGCAGCAGCCUUAGUUUUCCCCAGGAGUCUCCCAUCCAGGUACUGGCCAGGCUCACACCUGCUGAGCUCCAGUGGGCUGCCAGCUGUGAGUUGCAGGGCGAUAUGGCUGCUGGCUUAAGUGUGAUAGUUAUUAUGAUUAGUAGUAGUAUUUUUCAUAUCGCCUUUAAAAAUAACCUCUAAAAGUGCUUUACAGUAGGAGAAAAAUAUUAGCAAGGAGAAGAGGAUACAAAAUUAGCACAAUUAACAACAAGGGUUUAGAAUGCAGAAAACGAUGCAAGGGGCAGACAGGACCGAUUAAGUAAAACUAGCCUUUCUGAUGCAACGUGUAUUUACACAACAAAUAUUCACGCAACAUUUGUUGUUACACUUACCAAGUUAUGGCAUUAUAAAUAAAUUAGGGCAUGGAAAAAUAAGAAUAUUAAUCCAUUCCUGUUGCACUACAGAAUGGUCUCUGCUAUCCGUGUUGGCACUGAAUUAAAAGCUCACCUUUUGUGGCUCGAUUUAUUUGUUUUUUUUGAAUCGGAGUGUUCCUGGGUAUCUGAAAAAGAGAAAUGUUUGACAAUUCAUUGAAAUGAUAUCAGUUACGCGAAAGGCAUGAGAUCAUAUGCAGACAAUGAAAUGCAAUACCAGCCUGUGUUUCGGAGGUUAUCGGCAGAACAUUUAACAAGAUGCUCUAUAAAGGACACAUUCAAGACAUUGUUUAAAAGCUUCCACCAUAACAUUUUCCAUACGCAUUUCGAAAGAGGAAGUUGAGUCUUUGCCAACAGACAGAAAUAAGCACUUAAACUUAUCGCACUCAAAUAAGGACAACGAUGGCAACAACUCCCAGUGACACCUCUUUAAAGUGACGGAAAGGAAGCGCGAGGGGUGGAUAUCUAAAAGCCAAGUGCGGAACAAUAAAAAGUGAAAUUUUACGUUUUAAAAGCAUGUGCACACAUACUAGAUGCUCAAGUGUGAGGUACUAUUUUUUUAACUUAUGAUUAUACUGUAUUAUGAGACUUCCCUCUCCACCAGCGCAGUAUAUUGAAACAUGCACGGAUAAGUCAUAAAUGUUACGGAUUUUGUACCGCAAAACUUAAGAAUGCAGCAAAUUAAAAGCUCUCUCUUUACAAUAUGUAAGGCCUACAUUUCCUAUGCCUUUUUCGCAGUACGGUUAGUGUUCUGAAUAUUCCGGCCUGUUCUGAUCUGGGGAAAAAGCUCGAUGUUUUCCUACGUUAAGAUUGAAGUUUACACGGUAGCCUCUGGUACUCGAUUAAAAAAAAAAAGCACGUCUGGGCACAAAACAUCAUACAGCUCGGUCGGUAAAAAAACAGACUGAAUAAUGAAUAAUCUGUGCCUAAUGCUCUCAAAACAGAUUGAAAAAUCAAGGCUGUGAUUAAUCACACCUCAGCUGAUACAUCACCCAUGAUUACGGUUUUCACCUUUUUCUAAGAAUGAAUAUACUGUUGGCAACAAUGGACGAGUGAAAAUGUAUCGGAAUAUUUCACGGGUGUAGGCUAGGUACUCUUGAGUCUACAGGACAGGGGAGUUUAACUACUACUAUUAUUCUAAUUGAGCUUUAGCAUUGGAGGGCGAGCUUUAAACAAAUUAAACGUUCAAUAAAAAUACAAAUGUUAUAUUAUAAGUAACAUAAAAAACGUACUGUAGUAGAGGUGCUGGAAACGCUACAGUACCUGUUGAAUUUAAAUUUAAACAUAUAACAGUACAAUGUGUAAUCUAUGCUAUCCGUUUUUCGUUCCUUUAAAUAUUGGUUUUGAGGCGAUUUUAUUAAGAUUUGUGUUCUAAUUGAUCUGAUUUCAAGAUAAAAUGGCCUCCUGUUAAAUAUGGCUUUUUCCAUGUUGGGCGAUUUACCAGCAGAAACACCACACAACACUACGAGUGCCGAUUCGGAAAAAAAAUCAAAGUCCGAAAACAUUGUAGUUUUGUUUUUUUAUAAUAGUUGCAAGAUGAAUGAAGGUAAGGGAACGGCUUUAAUUUAGAACGGUUUACCGUAUGCGUUCUGUUAAAAUUGAAUGUUGUUUGAUUUCUCCAUUUAUUUUAAAGUUUUGAAGAUUUUGAAGAUGAUAAAACCAGUACUUUCGAUAAUUAAACCAUACACUAAUUACGUAAUGCAUACAAAUAAACCAUAAAUAAUCUAAAAAAGUAUGCACUUUCGGUAUACUGUAUAUUAAAUACCAUCGUUUCCUA